GAUGAUACCAGUGACGAGGUAAGGAUCGAUGGAAGAAGCAGGACGACGAUCCUCAAAGUAGCCGCAACCAUUCAUGGCGACAGAACGGGGGAUACGAACGGAUGCACCACGAUCGGCAACACCAUAAGUGAACUUAUCGAUUGAACCAGUUUCAUGACGACCGGUAAGACGCAAGUCGUUGUCGUCACCAUAAACAGCAAUGUGCUCCUUAUGGCGUUUGGCAAACUUCUCGAGAUAAGACUCAAUAGCUUUUAUACCACCUUCAGCACGAGUGUCCUUAGUAGAAACGUUAGUGUGGCAACCAGCACCAUUCCAGUCACCCAAAAUUGGCUUGGGGUGGAAGGAGAUUUUGACACCAAAAUCUUCGGCAAUGCGGUGAAGAAGGAAACGAGACAUCCAGAGUUGGUCACCCAUUUCAAUACCAGCGCAAGGGCCGACUUGGUAUUCCCAUUGGGAAGGCAUAACCUCAGCAUUGAUACCGGAAAUGUUGAUACCAGCGUAAAGACAAGCCUUGUAAUGGGCCUCAACGAUGUCACGAGCAAAGACGCGGCCAGUACCAACACCGCAGUAGAAAGGACCUUGAGGACCAGGGAAACCACCCUUAGGCCAGCCAAAGGGACGGUCAUAGUAGUCCAACAUGGUAUAUUCUUGUUCAAUACCAAACCAAGUUUCUUUGUCAGCGUGCUUCUCCAACAACUUGGCGCAAGCGUCACGAUGGUUGAAGCCGUUGGGAGAGCCAUCAGCGGUGUAGCAAGCAGCGAGAACGAGAAUGUUGUCACCGCGACGGAAGGGAUCAUUGUACAUGGCAACAGGCUUCAAAAGAGUGUCAGAAUUGUUGCCGGGGGCCUGACCGGUGGAAGAGCCGUCAAAGUUCCAAACGCGCAAUUGGUCAAUAGAGGAAGGCUUGGCAUCGAGAGUCAUGGUCUUGCUACGAA